UACAGAGGUCUCAAGCGUUGUUCGGAUUCAUUGGGCGUAAAGGGUGUGUAGGUGGCGCCGUAAGUCGGGUGUGAAAUUUCGGAGCUUAACUCCGAAACUGCAUUCGAUACUGCGGUGCUUGAGGACUGGAGAGGAGACUGGAAUUCAUGGUGUAGCAGUGAAAUGCGUAGAUAUCAGGAGGAACACCGAUGGCGAAGGCAGGUCUCUGGGCUGACACUGACGCUCAUGCACGAAAGCGUGGGGAGCAAACAGG
rnacentral:rRNA from 1 species